rnacentral:lncRNA from 1 species
GUCCCUGGGGCACCCGGGCGUGUGGCUCAGCUGAAAGGGUGACCAUGGGCACCAUUUGCCUGGCUCCCAGGUCCUGAGGCCAGAGAGGAGCCAAGAAAUGAAAGGGCCUGGUGGGUGUGAGUGGGCCUCAGUGUCUGGCUGCUCCAGGAGGAGGGGGGUGGGCACUGACUCCUGCCUGAGGGCUGGAGGCAGGGAGGCUCCUCUGGACAGGAAGACCCUCCAGGAACAGACCAGCAAGACUGGCACUGUCCAGAUGGGACCAGGAGCCGGACAGCGGCGUCAGACAUGCCCCACAGCGGCCGUGACCACAGCCACUUCCUGGAGGUCAAGACCUGGAGGCAGGGCCAGUGCUGCCAGGGAUCCUGGUGUGGACACGGGCAGGACCAGGGGAUGCUCCCUCGAGGCUGGUGUGGAACAGGCCGUGCUGCCCAGUGGGUGGGCACCCAAGGGGGCUCCAAGCCAGGCUGUCCUCCCAAGGCCGGCUUCGUCCAGAAGGAGAGGAGCCAAGGUGCCCCGGCAUCCACCUUCCUCGGCUGCCUUGUCCACUGCAGGGACAGCAGCCUGUGAGCAGGAGGUGCUUUGAGGGAGCUGGGGGGACCCUGGGGGACACACGGCAUUUCCACACUGUAACCACGUCACGUAGAGACCACAAAGUCCUCCUGUCUUGGGGUAAAAGUGAGGAAACUGAGGCUGGGGAAGCUAAGGGGCUCACGUGGCCUCUGGAAGGGACGGGGCUGGA